UUUAUUUUUAGUAUCAUUUUAUUUUAUUUUUUUAUACGUUCCUAAUUUGAUCUAACAAAGUCUGCUAUGACAAAAGAAAAAUUAAUGUCAGAUGAGCCUUAUUUAAUGGAUACACAAAGUGACGGAGGUUUACAAAAAGUUAUCGACAGGGGGGAGAAGUGUUCUAUUGUAUUAGAUGCUGUGGGUGCAAAUGUAGCCACGGGUAUACGCACAGAUGCAUGCGGUAAGGUUAAACCCUUAAACGAUUCGGAAAAUAACAGUACAAACAAUAUUGAUAAAACAGUUGUAACAGAUGCGAACUGCAUUAGUAAAACUAGUACUAAUGGUGAAAUAAAAGUAGAAAUAAAUCAAAAUAGUUAUGACUUAUAUCCUAGCAAUUUGGAAAAUAAGAAUACAGACCAUUUAAUAAAAAGCAAACUAACACAGUUAGAAAAAAAUUCUUAUAAUCACAACAAAUCUUUUUAUCAUAAUGGUAUACAAGAUAAUAUAACUGUAACAGACAAUAAUAAUACAAACAAUAAUAAUAGUGGUAGUAGUGGUAGUAGUGGUGGUAGUUGUAGUAGUGGUAGUAAUGGUAGUAGUGGUGGUAGUGGCAUUAAUAGUGACAGUAGUACUAUUAUCCCUUUUUAUAAUUUAAAUAAUGAAGAACACAACAAUAAUCAUACCAUCUAUAAUAAUAACUUGCAUGAAAACAAAAGUAAAAAUGUUGGUAGACUAAGUGACACUAAUAUCACAAGUGCUACAACAGACGCUAUGAAAAAAACUCAUAUUAACAGUAACACAUGUGGUAAAAAACAAAAUGAUAUGUCAAUUAAUUACAACGAAUUUGAGAAUAAUAAUUUUGUAAUGAAUUCAAAAAAUAUACAAAAAAAAUAUACUCAUUUAAGUAAUACAAAUAAUUCUUUAACUAGUUUAGGUAACACAACAAACAUUACGAAUGUAAUAAUUAAGGAUUGUUAUGACCAAAGUUUAAAUUGUGAUAUGGGAAUGACAGUGCAGCAGUUGAUUGUACAGCAAGAAGUAGAAGAAAUGACAAAAAAUAACAUAGAAGAAAUGACAAAAAAUAACAUAGAAGAAAUGACAAAAAAUAACAUAGAAGAAAUGACAAAANNNNNNNNNNAUAACAUAGAAGAAAUGACAAAAAAUAACAUAGAAGAAAUGACAAAACAUAACAUAGAAGAAAUGACAAAACAUAACAUAGAAGAAAUGACAAAAAAUAACAUAGAAGAAAUGACAAAACAUAACAUAAAAGAAAUGACAAAAAAUAACAUCGAAGAAAUAACAAAAAAUAACAUAGAAGAAAUGACAAAACAUAACAUAAAAGAAAUGACAAAAAAUAACAUCGAAGAAAUGACAAAACAUAACAUAAAAGAAAUGACAAAAAAUGACAUCGAAGAAAUAACAAAAAAUAACAUAGAAGAAAUGACAAAACAUAACAUAGAAGAAAUGACAAAAAAUAACAUAAAAGAAAUGACAAAAAAUAACAUCGAAGAAAUGACAAAAAAUAACAUCGAAGAAAUGACAAAAAAUAACAUCGAAGAAAUGACAAAAAAUAACAUAGAAGAAACAACUUCAAAUGUGAAACAGUUAAACAAUACCUUAUCAAGUGUACGUAAAUUGAAAAACAAACUGUUUGGUAGCUUUAUGAAAUAUCGUACACAAGUCGAACAGAAUAAUAUUGAUGGUAGUAGUACUCCGAAAAGUGCUGACAGAGAAACAAAGGAAGGAAACGAUGAUUUUACGGGAAAUAUUUAUAAUGAUGAUGUUAGAAGUGUUAAUAGUAUUGCUAGUGGUGGUAGUAACAAUGGUGGUUGUAACAAAAAAAAUAAAAGAUCGUAUUCCAUUGUAGAGUGCGAAGAGAUAGAAGAAGAAAAAAAAUAUAUAAAAAAAAAAUGCUCAAAUAUGAACGAUGAAAAUAAUAAAAAUGAAAUAUUAGCUAUGAUAAGCAAUAGUAUUUAUGAUAGUAAUGAUAAUUUAGUAGAAGGUAUAAAUAAUGGUAUUGAUACUUUUAAAGAAGAGAGUGAUGUUUCUGGUGUUGCUACAAAUGGUAGUAAUAUUAGUAACAACCAAAAAAACAGUUCUAGUUUUAGUUCUAGUUCUAGUUCUAAUAAUUAUGAUAAAGAAUAUACCAAUAAAUAUUCUCAUGAUGAGAGUAGUAAUCACGAAAGCAAAAAUGAUAUACAUAAUGAUAAAUACCAUUUAAUUAAAGGAUGUGUUAAAGCCACUUAUUUAUCUGAUCAAUAUCCCAAUAAAACAACAACUGCUGUUAAUCAAAGAUCCACAAGAGGAAGUAGUAACGUAUGUUAUAAUAAAAAAAACAUUAUAAAAAAAUGUAGCAACUCUAGCGACGACACUUGUGAUACUAAACAGAAUUUUAAAAAAAAUAAAACCGAUGAAACUGAAGAAAGUAAUAUGUCAUCAUUCCCUAUAGAUAAUAAUAACAAACUGAAAGAAGAGGUAACUAUAAAUGAUGAUAAUAAACAAAAUAAUACAAACAUGACUGUUGUAAAUGAUUUAUAUACAAGAAGACCUCAACGAAAUGCUGCGAAAAAAUGUAUUACAUUAUGGUCAGCAGAAUUAAAAAAAAAAUCAGAAAAGAAUUAUAAUAUAAAUGAUAAAACAAAAGAGUUAAAUAAUGAAAAAAAAGAAGAAGCAUUAUUAAAACGUAGAAAGAAAUCAAAAAGAGAGUUAAAAACUAGUUACAUGCAUAUUUUAGAUGAAACAAAAGAUAUAGAAAACCCAAAAAGUAUUAGUGAUAACAAUUUGUAUAUAAAAAAUGAGAAAACUUAUAAUUAUGACAUACAAAGUGUUGAGCAAGUUGAAGGUUGUAGUGGGUCAUUUUCAAUAGGUACGAAUGUAAUUAAUAUUGGUUGCAACCUUAACAAUUGUAACACUGUCGACUUGAAUAGUAACAGUUCUGAUGUUAAUGUGACACCUGAUAAUAAUGAAUCAAAACAAAACGAUAUGAAGCAAAGUUUUGAAGAAGUAGUAGGAAAUGACAACAAAAAUAUUCCUAUUUUGUUUAAGGAAUCUAUGGACGAACGUGAGAUGUUUAAAUGUUUAGACGUGUUAAGACAUUUACCAAGUAAAAAAGGUGGGGCCCAAUAUAAAUUACAUAAAGCUAUACUAACAGAAGAAAUGGUAAGAAGAGCAAAAAAGUUUCCACUAGUUCAAGGCGUAUACUUUGAUAGAUAUCAACAAAGAUGGAGUGUUAACUGGAACGAAGAUGGUAAAAGAGUAGCAAAGUAUUUUCCCAUCAAAUUAUUUGGAUUUGAUUAUGCUCGUAGGCUAGCUAUAUAUUGCAAAAAUUAUCAGAAAAUACCUGAAGAGGCAUUAGCAUUUGAACAAGCAUACAGGUUAAAUCAACAACAUAAUAAAUAUAAAAAUGAGAUGAACGAAAAUAAAAAUUUAAAAAAAAAAAAAGGAACAAAUAAGAACUUAAAAAAAAAGAAAACGAACAUUAAAAAUAAUUUAACAAGAAAAGGUACUACUACUGAUGUUGCGGAUGAUACUAGUGCUGACACAGGUAGUGGUAGUGGUAAUGGUAGUGGUAAUGGUAGUGGUAAUGGUAGUGGUAAUGGUAGUGGUAAUGGUAGUGGUAAUGGUAGCGGUAAUGGUAGUGGUAAUGGUAAUGGCACUUGUGAUGAUGACAAUAUGGAUUAUGUUAGUACCGGCAGAACAAUGUCUAAUUAUAAAAAAAGAAGACAACAAACAGAAGGUACGAAUUUAUAUACUAUCAAUGAUACUAACACGAGCGACCAUAACAAAAACAAUUAUAACAAUUAUGAUAAUAGUGUUUAUAAUUAUAAUGUUGAUGUUAAUACGUUGGUUGAAAACACGUCAAAUGAAAACAGACAUUAUGUAGGUAAUAGAAAGCAACAUCAUGAUUGUAAUAGCAACAUAAGUAACACUAAUUUUUAUCAUAACCAUUAUAAAAGUAAUGAUGAUGGUAGUAGAUUCAUCACUGGAAGUAAAAGAAACGGAAGUAACAAAAGUGUACGUAGUAAUAACAGUCUUGAAAAUAUAAAAGGAAAUGACAUACACCGGGAAGGAGAUGAUACCGAUUCGACUGUAGUACAGUAUGAUCAUGAUGAUAAAAAUAAAAAUAAAAAUAUAUUUAUAGCUAAUAAAAUAAAUAGUAGUAGUAGUAGUAGUAGUAGUAGUAUGUUAAAAAAUUUGAAAAAAAGCAAUCCCCUUAAUAUGUACAAUGCAUACGAAAUAAAUUGUAAUACAUCAAAAGAAGAAAGAAAAUAUGACAAUGGUAAUGGCAAUGACAAUGGGUCGAAUAUAGUAAACGAUAAUUCACAUUUUAACAAUAAUAGUAUAUAUUAUUACAAUAACAUGAACGACGAGUAUGAAACUAACGACUCAAAAAACAAUUUUGCUAGUAUGAACAAACACAAUGCACAACUUGAUGAUAUGAGUUAUAAUAGUAGUAAUAUGUACAAUAAAAAUAAUAAUUCGGCUCAAGUUUGUUUGAAAAAAACGUUUAAAGAUAACCCUUCUAAUAAGGACAGAAACUUCGGAGGUGAAACACAUAACAAUACAAGUUAUAACAAUACAAGUGAGAAUGCAAAAAAAUCAUUAUCUUUUGUAGAUAACAACAUCAUACACAAUACAAAUAGCAUAAAAAACGAUACAUCCGAUUUAGGUUUAAAAAAAACAACAGAUAAUAAAAAUCAUACCAUGGAUAAUCAUAAUGCAGUAACAUUACCAUAUAUUGUAAAG
rnacentral:lncRNA from 1 species